ACCAAUCUAUGGUGACACGAGUACAGGUAAAUAUUAUUAUAAACCCGUUGUAUGUUGGAACGCAGAUCUACGCGAGACACAGUGUGUUUUCUAUUGUGUCUCAUAUACCAACACACAAGGGGUUAAUUUUGAUGCUCCCUUUUUUAUUGAAUAUUGGAGCAUACAUGGUAAGCAGUCGCCACCAGCCAUGGACACUUGAAACACCAGAGGCGUUACAAAUGCGUUGCCGGCCUUUUGGAGGUUAGGAAUUUAAGGAUUGUCGGGGAAUCGGGGAUUGGGAAGGGGGGAAUUGGGCCUCCGGUAACCUCACUAACACAACGAAACAACGCAAGCGUUAUUUCACGUCAGUUUUCGUCCCUAAAGCUAAGACACUCUUAGCUAAGAGAUAGUUUAGCGGUGGUUGAUGAAAACAGCUAUAAGAGUCAGUUUAGAUUUGCUUAUAAUUUUGACACAUUUUAUAUGGAACUUAUAUCAAAAAAUUUAACUGCUAUAUAAUAAAUUGAGUUGAUUGAAUACAAUAAAAAAAAAUCUAAUUCGAGUAAAUUAUGCCAAUAAAUAAUUAUUUUUAUAAUUUUUAGAGAUCGAACAAGUCUUGGAUCACGGCUGUUUCAUAAUUAUGUACGUAAUAUAUAAAAAAAUUUCAAAAUUAAUUAAAUAUACGUUGUAAGGUAAGCGUCCACAGGCCCGCAUCGUACGCAUCGCACGCAUUCCGUAUGACGUCAUCAGUACGCAUUGCCGAUGAUGCGGUCCGUACGAUGCGGAUCAGUGGACGCAGUUGUAUGAGUUUCUAUACAAGACAAACUAAAAUCCGUUGCGUGCGAUGCAAGCCUGUGGACGCUUACCUUUUAAUAUCCGUCUUGUAGAUUAUUUUAAAACAUUAGACACGUAUAUUUUGUUUUCUUACGGAAACAAAUACUUUCGAAGAUAUAUCGAUUUGAAAUAUUGCGUGACAUCACUUCUAGGUGCGUUUUGUCCAAAAUAAUUAUGUCUUGCGUACAUAUGCGUACCACGAGUCAAAUCACAUGAGUGAUUUCCAUACUGUAUACAAGUAUGAAAUUAGCAUUAGUUACUAUAUAUUAUAUAAAAUAUCGCAUUAGUCCGUACAAUAACAGGUUACUUUACUAUUUCGUAAAAAAUCUUAUUCUAACUUAAUACUACAACGAUAUUUUUUGUUAUCGACACAAAUUAUGAAAUAUGACAGAAAUAUUUCGAUACAAAGAAUUUAAAUUAAUGUAUAGAGUGACUGGUAAUUAGUGAACGAUAUUUAAACACGAUUGCAAACAACUUUCCCAAAGAAACUUUUUUAUCGCAAUAACAAAACAACAAAUUUCGCGUGCGCGAGCAUUUGCAUGAUCAGCUGUUAGCAGCGAUGCGGUUUUGUUAUUGUGAUAAAAAUAAAACUAAUGAGUAUACAAAAAAGUUUCUUUGGGAAUGUUGUUUGUAAUCAUGAGUACAAUCACGUGUUUAAAUAUCGUUCACUAAUUACCAGUCACCCUAUACAUUCGUUUGAGAAACUAGCUUCUGCCAGUGGCUUCGGCCGCGUUCGCGUGGGAUAAGAAGUUAUCUAUAUUAUUUCAGACCAUAAUCUACCCCUGUUUCAAAGCCAUAUCGAUUCCUUCAGAGGUUUUGACGUGAAUGAGUAACAAAACAUACAAAC